rnacentral:misc_RNA from 1 species
UCUCCGUUGGUGAACCAGCGGAGGGAUCAUUACAGAGUUACCAAACUCCAAACCCAUGUGAACUUACCAGUUUGUUGCCUCGGCAGGCCUCCGUAUCUCGUCUCCGGGCGGGCGCGGAUCCCAUAGGUCUGCCGGUGGUCCAUUAAACUCUUGAAUUACAAUGUAAAUCUGAGCGUUUUAAACAAAUAAGUUAAAACUUUCAACAACGGAUCUCUUGGUUCUGGCAUCGAUGAAGAACGCAGC